AAUGAACGCUAGCGGUAGGCCUAACACAUGCAAGUUGAACGCAUACUUUUACAGUAUAAGUAGCAAACGGGUGAGUAACGCGUGAGAAAUCUACCUUACAAUCUGGGAUAAAAUCCCGGAUUCUUUCUAAACUAGAUGUUCCGACAAAUAGUAUAGAAUAAAAGAUUAAAUGUCGUUGUAAGAUGUGCUCGCGUAGGAUUAGGUAGUUGGUGAGGUAAAAGCUACACCAAGCCGAAGAUCCUUAGCUGGUCUGAGAGGAUGAUCAGCCACACUGGGACUGAGACACGGCCCAGACGCUUUCGAGCGGCAGCAGUGAGGAAUUUUGGACAAUGGGCGAAAGCCUGAUCCAGCCAUAUCGCAUGAGUGAAGAAGGCUCAAUUGGUUGUAAAGCCCUGAUUUGAGUGAAGAUUAUGACAUAAGAUCAAAGAAUAGACCCGGCUAACUUCGUG
rnacentral:rRNA from 1 species